UUAUUUCAACAUUACAACACUGAUCAUGUCACAUUAUAUUAAAUAUAUCAUAGAAUUGUAUCAGGUAUCUAUAAAUCCAAUAAUGUUAUAAAGAAUUAUAAUGAACCGUGAGUCCAGAAGAUAAAGGGGGACAGAAUUCUACACAAUUCUUUUACUUUAGAUAUUUGGAAUGUUGAGCAUAAGGGACAGCCUCUGUGUUUAUAUAAAAAGGUCAACAUUAUAGUGAAUUAUGUUGAACUAAAGCACAGUGAUGAGGGUUAGGAUUAUGGCAUUUUAACUUUAGCUUUAUUUUUUGAUUCCUAGGUUUACAUUAGUUAGUGUUUUUUUAUACAAAUAAUGCCAAAAGAAUGGGCAAGUAUGUACAAGAUUAAGGAAUGUAAGCAAAUACUUUACUGAUUAAGAGAACUGUAUGCCAGUAAAGUUACAGAAAAUAAUAUGUAAUCAGAUACCUUCUGUAAAAAAGAGGAUUACUAACAGGAUUACACAUUUAAAAUAAAGAAUGAUACACUUGUCUGUAAGUAUGCACAUGUUCAGACAUGACAACACUCUCCCAGCCUCCCAGGUAUUCUUACAGGAUACACACUCCUUAUCAAGAUUAAACAAAAGUUAUCUGUUUGCUGUUUAUUUUCUCUCGUCUUUAUUUGCAUAUGUUUGGUAUCGAGGUAAUCCAUAUUAAGAAGAGCAUUUUACAGUUUGUAUAAAUUGUUCCAGACACAGUGCCAUUACAUAAGGUGGCGGUUCCUCCCCAGCUUGUAUAAGUGCAGGGCUGCUGCAGCGGUGGAACAGAGAAACAAUGGAGCACUUCCUGUUUUGCUCCACAGGAAGCAUCCUGACUGGAAACAUCACAACCCUGGACAGGAAGGCUCUGCAGCGGAUGAUUAAAACCUCCCAGAACAUCCUUGGUACCCCUCUACAGAGCUUAAGUAUAAUCAAUGAAGUGAGAUAUCUGAACAGAGCCCAAAGAUGAUUAAAGACAACACCCACUCAGCCACAGACCCUGCUGUUAUAUGGAAAAAGAUAAAGAAGGAUCUGCUGCUGCUCCACCAGACUACAGAGCAGCUUCAGUCAUCAGGCUGUGAUGUUCCUCAACUCAUUACUCUACAGUCCACCAUGAUUUGUUUAAUUAUGUGACUGAAUUAUUUACUAAUUUACCAUUUUUUGUGUUUGUGUGUAUGUAGCUUAGGGAACAGAAACGUCAUUAUAGAAUCUUGUGUUGCAUAAUGGCAAUGGAAUUUUACAAUUUGAAAUAUUUUUGGCUUUUUAUCUUCUCUGUUGGUUUAUGGCAAAAUGAAAGGCAUCACCAUGAGCCUCAGUUGUAUUUGAAAUAGUUGCCAAUGUUAGCAAGCUAACACAGAUGGUCAACAAGGUAAAUAUUAUACCUGCAGCCUCACUAAGCCCCUAUGGCUGACCUGUUAGUCUUGUUUUAUUGUGUCUCUCACAAGUUCACCAACUUCAUAAACUUGCUAAACUAAAUCACUGGAGUAACCCUUUAUAUAUAAACUAUAUAAAUUAACCCACAAAAGGAUAAAGGGUGUAGAAAAUGACCUGCAAAAAUAAAGCUUGUAAUGGGUGCAAGCAUACAGAGAUAAGUUAGGUUGAGUUUUUAAUAGGUUUGAUUUGUACAUUUGUAACAGUAAUGUGUGCAACAAAACCGUACAGUUAGCCCCAAGUUGGCCAACCCAAAAGAUAGUUCUCUUGGUAUACAUACAUGAAAUAAGUCACAAUCUACACUUUAAAGUACAUGAAGAUUACAGUAUUUUUUUCUAAACUGAGACGCAGUCUCAAAUUAAGCCACUAGAUAUAUCUUCUUGUGUGUCAUAAUACACGCGAGUGUUCACCAACACGUGAACUGUGUUCAGGUGUCUUUACCAAAAGUUCAUGCCAUGAGUGGUUCAGGUCAUCCAAACAACAGAAAAGCUUUAAACAAAGAAAACAAAUGUGCUGCCACAAUAUGGGCUCACAGCUAACCUAGCCUCACAAGGCAAGAGAUGAAUUUGUACAGGAGAGAAGAAGAGUACCGCUGCACAGGGGAGUUCGACGACAGCUGAGGGAACUAAUGUGACUGAGUCUUUUUGUUUAGCAGUGACAUUUCCAGCACCACUCUAUUGUCACUGCAAACCAGUUAUAGGUUCUGGUAGCUCCUGUAAACCAGUGUCAACAGGCUGAUUUUUAACUUCAUUUUGAAAAAGUGCCACCA